UUUUUACACCAACUCGAAUGUAAUGAAAUUAUGAUUGUGCGGCAAGCACGAAUGUACAACUUUCAACAACGGAUCUCUUGGCUCUCGCAUCGAUGAAGAACGCAGCGAAAUGCGAUAAGUAAUGUGAAUUGCAGAAUUCAGUGAAUCAUCGAAUCUUUGAACGCACCUUGCACCCUUUGGCAUUCCGAAGGGUAUGCUCGUUUGAGUGUCAUUGUACUCUCACACUCCUCCUCCUUUUGGUGGAUUUGGAGCGGUGGUCUUGGGUGUUGCUGCUUUGCAGUGGCUCACCUCAAAUGCAGUAGUGCAACUCUUGGUUGGACAUAGUACGGCGUGAUAAGUGUCUUCGCCGGCGACCUCGCAAGAGGGUGGCUGAUCAGGAGCUCUGUGCUUUCCAACUGUCCUCGGACAAUGACUGACAACUGGACCUCAA
rnacentral:rRNA from 1 species